rnacentral:rRNA from 1 species
AUUGAACGCUGGCGGCAGGCCUAACACAUGCAAGUCGAACGGUAGCACAGAGAGCUUGCUCUCGGGUGACGAGUGGCGGACGGGUGAGUAACGUCUGGGAAACUGCCCGAUGGAGGGGGAUAACUACUGGAAACGGUAGCUAACACCGCUUAACGUCGCAAGACCAAAGUGGGGGACCUUCGGGCCUCACACCAUCGGAUGUGCCCAGAUGGGAUUAGCUAGUAGGUGGGGUAAUGGCUCACCUAGGCGACGAUCCCUAGCUGGUCUGAGAGGAGGACCAGCCACCCUGGAACGGGGACACGGUCCAGACUCCUACGGGAGGAAGCAGUGGGGAAUAUUGCACAAUGGGCGCAAGCCUGAUGCAGCCAUGCCGCGUGUAUGAAGAAGGCCUUCGGGUUGUAAAGUACUUUCAGCGGGGAGGAAGGCGGUGGAGUUAAUAACUUCACCGAUUGACGUUACCCGCAGAAGAAGCACCGGCUAACUCCGUGCCAGCCGCCGCCGUAA